rnacentral:lncRNA from 1 species
AUGUUGGAAACUUCUUCUUCCGUGCUAGUGGGAGUAGAGGCCGGUGGUGGUGAUAUGGCAGAGUUAAUGGUUGUGGUCACAUGAAUACGUCACAAUUACCAUUGUAGGGUCCGCUCGGUUUCUCUCUACUUGUUUUCUUGCUGGACAACCUUUCGAACUACUACAUCUAUAAUAGCCCCUGCCAAAAAUAAUAAUUGAGGCUUAUUAGUUUCUUAAUCCUCGUUUUUCUUGCAUUAGCAUCUUGUAAACAUCAAUGUAUUUUAAUAUUCAAUUUUAAAAUUAGUUUAUCACAAUACCCUAUUAUUCUAAAUUAUCAACCAACGUUGUAACUUGGGAGUUGAAUUCUCAAAGUAAAUGGUAUUUCUUUAAAAAUAAUUAGGAAGAUACAAUGUAAUUAAAAAAGAAAAAGAAAGAAAACAAAAAUCUCAAUUAUUUUCUUAUAAUUCAGAAAGUUAAAAUAUUGUAAUUACAACUUCUGUCUAUAACUUGUUUAAUUUCUUUUCAAUUAUAUAUGCAUAUAUUAGUUAAAAGAUUAUGAAUUUUAGAUGUAGGAACAUGUAUAAUUGAAGAACACAAUAAUGUUUUCCAACAAUUUAUGUGCAAAAUUCUUUAUUUCAAUUAAGAACCUCAAUUACCUUAAAUUAAUUAUAUUAUGAACUUGUUAAACUAAACAAACUUUGGAGUGUAAACUUACCGAGGGUAAGGUGAGCCUUUGAUGGGUUUCUGACCAUAUUU